rnacentral:rRNA from 1 species
UGCAAGUCGAACGAUAACGCCACCUUCGGGUGGUUAUUAAAGUGGCGAACGGGUGAGGAACACGUGGAUAAUCUUCCCCUAUAUCCGGGAUAAUCCUUCGAAAGGAGGUCUAAUACCGGAUAAUACUUUUUGGUGGCAUCACCAGAUAGUCAAAGGCGGGGUAACCUGCCGUUUAGGGAUGAGUCCGCGCCCCAUUAGCUUGUUGGUAGGGUAACGGCCUACCAAGGCUCCGAUGGGUAGCCGGCCUGAGAGGGCGACCGGCCACACUGGGACUGAGAUACGGCCCAGACUCCUACGGGAGGCAGCAGUAAGGAAUAUUGCGCAAUGGACGAAAGUCUGACGCAGCAACGCCGCGUGGGUGAUGAAGCACCUUGGUGUGUAAAACCCUUUCAGUGGGGAAGAACCGUGCAAUGAGUAACUGCGUUGCACCUGACGGUACCCACAGAAGAAGUCCCGGCUAACUCCGUGCCAGCAGCCGCGGUAAUACGGGGGGGACGAGCGUUGUUCGGAUUUACUGGGCGUAAAGGGCGCGUAGGCGGACCUUCAAGUCGGAAGUGAAAACCGUUGGCUUAACCAGCGGCCUGCUUUCGAUACUGUCGGUCUUGAGUUCAGGAGAGGAAAGCGGAAUUCCAGGUGUAGCGGUGAAAUGCGUAGAUAUCUGGAAGA